CGCGACCACGCUUAUUAAAGUUGUUACGCGCAGUACAGAUGGUGAGGCUGCUUUUAGCAUAUUGUAGCAAAGUUAAAAUUAUAAAGUUGUUUGAUUUAGGUUAGCAUUUGGUGAAUAUGUCUGUUCAAGUAGAAGUUCGCUUUUGUUUCUCGAUCGCCUAACCUGUGUUACCCACACUCACUGUGUUCCGUUACCCCUUGACCUUGACGUGGUUGAAACAAAGCCUUCAAAAUUCAAAUCGAUGGAAUGUUUGAAACAGCCCAUGUGCCCAGAGCACAUUGGUGCAACAAGUCGAAAUCACAGCAUCAGCACCAGCAAGUCUUAAGCUUUUCAAGUACAAUGUUGGAAGUUACCUCAGCUGGUGAAGAAUUCAGUGAUUUCGAACAAGUACCUACUAAAUGAAGUGAACUUGAAUCCGACUCAAAUGUUCAGUGACAACCUACUUAUGUGAACUGCUAGACACAGUAAUUUCCUACAAUAAGAAGAAUUCCAAACUCCAGUUUACAUGGGGAUGUGUGUGUGGAUUACAGUUCCACAUCAGGCAACAAAAUGGCAAAGUCAGAGAGGAGAACAUCAACGUUGGAGUGACAAAGUGCUGAAUAGACAAAUGGCAACCAGUUUUUGCUCCAUGUUCAAGGUUCAAUAGAGAAAAGAGAUUUACAAUCUUUGGGUCAUGACCAAUAUGGGAACAAAUGCUAGUUCAUUGCAAAACAAAAUGAAUGUUGGUGCAGUUUGGACCUAGAUGGAUUUUGAAAAGCCCCUUUAUCAUGAGCUAGUUACAAUCUGAGGCAGGUGACUCCCACGAUACACUUGACUAACGAGCAUAAGUUAGUGCGAGUGCUACGCCAGGUGUACAAUGCAAGGCUGUCGCUGCGUCGAACUGGAUUGUUGGGACGGUUUGGACGGAAUACCUGUUUCUAGUCGUUGUGAAAACGAUCAAACAAAACAUUUCUCCUUACCCGGUCAUUUUGUCGAUCGAGAACUACUGUUCACUCCCGCAGCAAUUCAAAAUUUGUUUCCACAAGUCCGUUACUUAUCUUCAUUCUCACGUGGGGAAAACGAGUUCCCUCAUGUUGAACAGGCAGAAGCUGUCGCGUUACUUCUUAAGGUUCUAAAAUCCGGUUUCGCGAUCAUCGGGACCCAUUUACUAUCCAUUUCAGAUUAUCCGAUAUCAUCGUCCACUGCCAGGUAAUUUCAAUGAAGAAAGUAUCCUGCGCAACGAUUGAAAUUCUGUUGAAAUGUCCUUUUUCUACGAAACCACAACCAGAAAGUUGAUGAUCCUCCUGUUGAAGAGUCCCACUUCUUUAUCUGGUAUUACUAGGUGAAGUUAAUUCGCAUCUAGCUGGUGGUCUAAGAACUUAGGCCUUUCCUAAUUUCACGAGCAUCACAGAUCUCUCCAUUGUCAGAUUUGAUGUCAGCACGUAGUUG
rnacentral:misc_RNA from 1 species